GUGGGGGAUAUUGCACAAUGGGGGAAACCCUGAUGCAGCAACGCCGCGUGAAGGAAGAAGGUCUUCGGAUUGUAAACUUUUGUCUUGCGGGACGAAUAAUGACGGUACCGCAGGAGGAAGCCACGGCUAACUACGUGCCAGCAGCCGCGGUAAUACGUAGGUGGCGAGCGUUGUCCGGAAUUACUGGGUGUAAAGGGUGCGUAGGCGGAUUUGCAAGUCAGGUGUGAAAACUAUCGGCUUAACCGGUAGCCUGCACUUGAAACUGUAAGUCUUGAGUGGUGAAGAGGUAAGCGGAAUUCCUAGUGUAGCGGUGAAAUGCGUAGAUAUUAGGAGGAACACCAGUGGCGAAGGCGGCUUACUGGGCACUAACUGACGCUGAGGCACGAAAGCAUGGGGAGCAAACAGGAUUAGAUACCCCAGUAGUCC
rnacentral:rRNA from 1 species